GUGUUUUACAUCAGAACAUUAUAAAUAAUAUCACUUUACUACUUUAGAUACUGAGCAGAGUGAAUUAGUACUUUUGAGUCUUAAAGAGGUAACAAUUGAAAGUUCCUAUUACUUUUCUUAAUAAUGAUCGCGAUGAAGAAAAAAUCAUGGAAAACAGGAAUUUUUAUCAUUUUUAAUACCUACCAGUUUUCGACAAAUCCGAUAUUGUUUAUUCAGGGGUGGAUUGGGCAAGUGUGCUACUAUACAAAAUUGGAUAGAUCAUCGAUGUCAUAUUAUGUCCGCGGGGCUGACAAAAAAUAAUCCACUUGGUGUAAUAUUAUUAUUUUUGAAGAUUUUUUACAUAUAUUUAGAACACCUUGGUAGACGAUAGUGGACCAAUAUGAAACACUGCACAAAAGAUUAAAGACUAAGAAGUAGGGCCCGGAUUUGAAUACAAAAUGCGUUGAAAAUCUUAAGAAAACAUUGUUGGUUCAAUUCGACAACUUUAACAGAUUUUUUAGUUACUUUCCAAAACUUUUCAAGAAACACAAAAAACCACCGAAGGCAUCUGGUUUUUCAAUGGCAAAAAAAACCCAAACAGCUUCCAGUUGCAUUAUAUUUUACUAUAAAAAAGAGUGGUCGGAUUUGUCUCGUUCUUAUACAGAUUAACUCAUAAUUUUUUCUUUAUUAAAUUCAAUCAUAACCCAAUUUUGACAAAAAUGGAGAUGGCUGCUUGUUGCACAGACCUUUUCACUGCUUAUUUGCAUUAAGUACUGAUGAACUUAACAUUGAAAAAAUAUAUAUCCACUAAAUAAUUUACAGUAAACAAAGGUAUGAAGGGUUUUCAUUUGAAAAACAGAAGUUUGCAAUAGUACACUUCUUCAGUAAUACAACAGAUUUCAAGUAUUUAAAAAUAUGAUCUUUAAAUAUAUUUAAAAAUUCCAAAAAUUAGAAUUCGAUAAGUUCAUCAUUAAAUGAAAAAUGUAUGCAUAUUUAUGGAAUACUUGGUUUAUACAGUUUAUACAUAAUUGAAGACUAACGGUUAACUGAAGAAAUGAUUAUAUAAUACUUAAUAAUUUUACAUAGACUAAAUACUGUGCACUACAUCAAUUAUUAAUGUAAUAAUUUUUAUUUUUAUUAAUAGUUAUUCUUAAUCUGUCUAUAAAAUCUCCUUGUAUAAUUUAUUAUCAAUUAACUAUCCUGCUAAUUGUUUGGUUUUCAAUUCACUUAUACAGUAGUUCUUAACAUUUAUAAUAUAAUAA